ACCGCGGCGUGGCCCUCCCCUUCGAAGGCCUGCCUCAUGAAGACCACCCCAUGCCUCCCAGCAGCCGGAGUUCUUCGAUCCUCCCAGUGCAGCCAGCUCAGACGCCGCCCCCUCCUCAUGUGCCAGAUCUCGGUCGACGCGACGACGCCUAACCGAGGAAUUCUCCUCCUCGGCCAAGUCUGCUGCGCCAUCGCUCUCUUCACCGCCUGGAUCGGAGCCGCCAGCCACCACAUCGGGAUCGGAGACAGCGUCAUCCAUCAGGCGUGUAAAACUGGUUUAUGCCAUGAGUCAUGCAUCAUCCGUCAGGCCUGCCGUGCAGAGAAAGGUUCCUAAUUCCCGCUGUAGUGGUGAGCACGUAGUCGUUGCAGCGGUACACACACGUGUAAUACCGAUACGUUGGAUCGCUGACCACACCACCGUGCAUCGAGAACAUCAUCUGAAACAUCCUCAGACAGGUGAGGGAGAUGACGAUGGAGCAGGCCGCCGCCCUGGACGAAGGCUACAUGCGCAACAACAGCCCGACACAGCAGCUCAACGGCUGCACUGUGCAGCUAUAUCACCGGUCUGGGAGAACAAGACGAACGAGGCCUGAUCGAUGUGCAUCGGUCCUUUGAAGAUGAUGGCGCAAAAGUUAUUGCAGUUUCUUUUCUUUUUGGUUUCGUUUCACCA